rnacentral:lncRNA from 13 species
CGGCGCCUCCCGUCGCGCGUCUGGGACGCUGAGGGCGGGAGGGGCAUGGAUGAAAGACAGAAUUGCGUUUGAGGCGUUCUGAGAAGGGAAAGACGUGAAUUGGAGUCACACUGAGCUCCAGUCCUAUUUCUGCAAGUAGAACUCACUGCCCUUAAAAGCGGUCUAUUGGGAGGCUCUAACUUAACAGAGGACGUAUCUUUGUUUUUAUGUGAAACGUUCAAAAGUUGCUUUUGACCCGAGUACACUGAUUUUCAAAUUUUUUAAGAUGAGGAACUGUUUUGAUUUUUUUAAGAAUAGAACUUUACUUGGAAACCUAAGUUUUGUCUUGCUGUUUUUCAUUGAUGGGACCCAACUGGAAAUCAGAAUACCAGGCACUCAAUUAAUUCAGUUCAAGAGGACCUCUUCCUGUGUCACAGAGCAAGAGAUUUAAAAAUGGAGAAAAAUGGCAGACAUCUAAAAUAAAUGCAGAACCACCUGCA